CGCUUGUGGGCGCAAAAUUAAAAAUUAUCCAACUAUUUAUGUGAUAUUAGAGUAUUGGUCUAAAAAUAAGAGAACAAAAAAUAUUUCUAUGGGUUGAAAAUAUAUAAUUAUUAUGCAUGUGAUCUUGUUAUCUUCAGAUUUGAGACCGUUAAAUCUUAAUCAAGCAUUUUUAUCUUGGCACUACAAAGUAGUACACUAUUUCUAAAAGCAUAAUAUCACACUGCACUGGUAAUAAUUAUAAACUUAUUCAAGUAAGUAAAUAUUCAGCAUCUCAAUCUCAUAAGUUACUUGUGUAGGGGGUCCUCCACAAUU
rnacentral:lncRNA from 1 species